rfam:Dorea sp. 42_8 Ley3_66761_scaffold_9847, whole genome shotgun sequence.
GAGACGGUAUCUGUCCCUGACAGAACCAUACUCAGAACUGAAGCACUGGAAUCUCAUAAUUUUCAACAAAAAUGAGCUUAUAUUUUCAGGAAAUAAGACUCAGGA